rnacentral:snoRNA from 1 species
UGAUCAGGUGGGAUUAUCCUUACCUAUUCCUCUUUUCAGGAGACAAGACAACAUGAUUGAAGUUUGCAUCAAUUGUGAUUAACAUUUUGGAUAGUCAGGACAUGCAACACCCUGCUUGCUCCUAUCUGAU